rnacentral:rRNA from 1 species
CCUACGGGUGGCAGCAGUAGGGAAUUUUCGGCAAUGGGGGGAACCCUGACCGAGCAACGCCGCGUGAAGGAAGAAGGAAUUCGUUCUGGAAACUUCUGGUAUAAAGGAAGAAAGACGGAUGGAGGAAAUGACAUCCGAGUGACGGUACUUUAUGAGAAAGCCACGGCUAACUACGUGCCAGCACCCGCGGAAAUACGUAGGUGGCAAGCGUUAUCCGGAUUUAUUGGGCGUAAGGAGGGAGCAGGCGGCAGCAAAGGUCUGUGGGAAAAGGCUGAAGCUUAACUUCAGUAAGCCAAAGAAACCGGGCAGCUAGAGUGGAGGAGGGGAACGUGGAAUUCCAUGUGUAGCGGUGAAAUGCGUAGAUA